UACGGGGGGGGCAAGCGUUGUUCGGAAUUACUGGGCGUAAAGGGUUCGUAGGUGCCAACUUAGUCAGACGUGAAAUCCCUCAGCUUAACUGGGGAACUGCGUCUGAUACUGGUCGGCUUAAGUGCAGGAGAGGAACGCGGAAUUCCAGGUGUAGCGGUGAAAUGCGUAGAUAUCUGGAGGAACACCGGUGGCGAAGGCGGCGUUCUGGACUGCAACUGACACUGAUGAACGAAAGCCAGGGGAGCAAACGGG
rnacentral:rRNA from 1 species